GACGAACGCUGGCGGCGUGCCUAAUACAUGCAAGUCGAACGCAGUGGGGACGGGUGAGUAACACGUGGGUAACCUCCCAUCAGAGGGGAUAAAACUUGGAAACCGGUGCUAAACCGAUACUGAUGGAUGGACCCGCGGUGCAUUGGCUAGUUGGUGAGGGAACGGCUAACCAAGGCCACGAUGCAUAGCCGACUGGGGAGGGUGUUCGGACACACUGGGACGGAGACACGGCCCAGACUCCUACGGGGGGCAGCAGUAGGGAAUCUUCGGCAAUGGACGAAAGUCUGACCGAGCAAGGCCGCGUGAGUGAAGAAGGUUUUCGGAUCGUAAAGCUCUGUUGUGAGAGAAGCGGUAUCUAACCAGAAAGCCACGGCUAACUACGUGCCAGCAGCCGCGGUAAUUC
rnacentral:rRNA from 1 species